AGUCGCGCCUGCCACAUCUACCUCCCCAGCCAUCCUACUCUCUAUGCUGCUGCAAACUAGACAUUCCUUCCUGGAGGGACCUCUCGCUUCCCAUCUUCAGAUCAGGACGCACGGUCUCUUCUCCGCAGCUGCUUCCUCUGGUGUUCCUGUGCUCCUGUCGGCCCGCUGCUCCCACACACAUGCCCAUUCUUCUCGGGCUGGCUUGUAUCUCAGGGUUACGCUCCCCAGGUCCCUUGCUCCAGGAGGAUGGCACCGGGUCAGAGUGUUCAGACUUGUUGACGUCCCUCCCCCCACUCAAUUCGUCACUGAGCCAGAAGACUGAGCCUUGGGAAUGUCUCUGAGCCCACCCCACCUCUCCUCUCUGGCAGCAGCCUUGGUUUCUCCAUCUGGACUCUAAAUGCUGUGCCCACAACAGGCUAUUAUGGGUCUCUGUGUGUCCCAGACUGCCCGCAUGAAUAAUGGCUGAUAUGGCUUGGAUUUUUGUCCUCUCCAAAUCUCAUGUUGCAAUGUGAUUCCCAGUGUUGGAAGUGGGGCCUGCUGGGAGGUGAGUGGAUCAUGGGGGAAGAUCCCUUAAGAGUAGGUUAGCACCAUCCUCUUGGUGAUAUGAGUUCUUGCUCAGUUAGUUCAUGUGAGAUCUCGUUGUUUAAGCAUCUGGGACCUCCCCUUUCUCUCUCUCUUGCUCCCACUCUCACCAUGUGAUGUGCCUGCUCCCCUUUCUUCUUCCACCAUGAGUGGAAGCUUCCUGAGGUCUUUAGCAGAACCAGAUGCUGGCACCAUGCUUCUUUUACAGCCUGCAGAAUUGUGACCCAAUUAAACCUCUUUUCUUUAUAAAUUUCCCAGUCUCAGGCAUUUUUAAUAGCAAUGCACAAACGGACUAACACAGAAAAUUGGUAUAGUGAAUAGAGUAUCGCCAUAAAAAUACCUAAAGAUGUGGAACUGAGUAACGGGCAGAGGGUGGAAGAGACUGGAGAGCUCAGAAGAAGACAGGAAGAUGAGGGAACGUCUGGAACAUCUAUGGUUGUGACAAAAAUGCUGAUAGAGAUAUGGACAGUGAAGUCCAAGCUGACAAAGUCUCAGAUGGAAAUGAGAAAGUUAUUGGGAGCUGAAGCAAAGAUCACCUGUGUUAUUCCCUAGCAAAGAGCCUGGAUGGAUUGUGUUCAUGUCCUAGGGGUUUGUGGAAGGUUGAACUUAUUUGGUGGCAGCUGGCAGAAGAAAUUUCUAAGUAUCAAGAAGUGACGUGGCUGCUUCUAACAGCCUACGAUCAGAUAUGGGUGUAAAGAAAUGACUUAAAGUUGGAACUUAUACAUGAAAGGAAGCAGGGCAUAAAAGUUCGUAGCCUAGCCAUGCAGCAGGGAAAGAAGAAGCAUUUUCAGGAGCGGAAUCCAAGCAGCCAGUGUAGCAAUCAUUUGCUAGAGACAUUAGCAUGACUAAAAGGGAGCCAAAUGCUAAUAUCCAAUACAAUGGGGAAAAGUUCUCAAAGGCAUUUCAGAGGUCUUGGAGAUAGCUCUUCCCAUCUCAUGCUCAGGGGCCUAGGAGGAAAGAAUGGGUUCAGGGGCCAGGUAUGGGGCACUGUUGUCCAGUUCAGCCUCAGGACACUGCUUGCCACAUCUCUGCUGGCUCAAAAGACCCCAGGCCCAGGUACAGCUCCAGUUGCUGCUUUGGAGAACGCAAGCUGCCAUAAGCCUUGGCAGUUUCCACUUGGUGUUAAGCCUGCAGGCACACAGAAUGUAAGUGUGAAGGAGGCUUGGCAACUUCCACCUAAAUUUCAGAGGAUGAAUCAGCAAGCCUAAGGUGGCUGCCCAGGCAGAAGCCUGCUGCAGGGGUGGAGCCCCCACCAGAGAAACUCUACUAGGGCAGUGUGGAGGGGAAAUGGGGGUUGGAUCCCCCACACAGACCCCCCACCAGGACACUGCCUAGUGGAGCUGUGGGAAGGUGGCUGAUGUCCUCCAGACCCCAGAAUGAUAGAGCCACUGACAGCUUGCAUACUGAGCAUGGAAAAGCCACAGGCACUCAACUCCAACCCAUGAGAGCAGCCACAGGGCUAGACCCAGAAAAGCCACAGGGGCAGUGCUGCUCAAGGCCUUGGGGGCCCAUCCCUUGAACCAGUGCACCCAGGAUGCAGGACAUGGGAUCAAGGAUCAUUUUGGAGCUUUAAGGUUUAAUGACUGCCCCAAUGGGUUUCAGACUUGGGUGGGUCUGGUAGCCCCUUCCUUUGGGUCAAUUUCUCCCUUUUAGAAUGGGAAUAUCUACCCAAUGCCUGUGCCACCAUUGUAUCUUGGAAGUAAAUAACUUGUUUUGAUUUUACAGGCAUAUAGGUGGAAGGAACAUGCCUUGGGUCUCAGAUGAGACUUGGACUUUUGGAUUAAUUCUGGAACAAGUUAAGACUUAGGGGGACUAUUGCAAAGGCAUGAUUGUAUUUUGAAAUGUGAAAAAGACAUGAUAUUUGGGUCCUGGGCGGGGAAUAACGUGGUUUGGAUAUUUGUCCCCUUCGAUUAUCAUGUUGAAAGGUGAUUCCCAUUUUGGGGGUGGGGCCUGGUAGGAGGUGAGUGGAUCAUGGGGGAAGGCCCCUCGUGAAUGGUUAAGCACACCCCUUGGUGAUAAGUGAGUUCUUGGUCAGUUAGUUCAUGUGAGAUCUGGUUGUUUAAAAGAGUCUGGGACCUCCCCCAACCCCUUGCUCCUACUCUUGCCAUGUGAUGUGCCUGCUCCCCUUUUGCCUUCCACCUUUCACCAUGAGUGGAAGCUUCCCAAGGUUCUUACCAGGACCAGAUGCUGACGCCAUGCUUCUUGAACAGUCUGCAGAAUUGUGAGCCAAUUAAACCUUGUUUCCUUAUAAAUUACCAGCCUCAGGCAUUUCCUUAUAGCAAUGCACAAAUAUACUAACACAAUGGCCAUAGACAGCGCUUACCAUUAGCUCAUUUAACUUGUCUACGAGGGCAGCACAACUUGGGGUCCACAUACUCAUGCCCAACUUCAUUGGCCAUUCAACUCCAGCCAAGUAACAGGACGAAAAGACAGAAACCCACCAUAAGCUGCGGCUGAAGGUGGCCAUCCAGCCCACUGUUGGGACAGAAUGCUUAGUGUGUACAGAUUUGCUUCGGUGUCCCUAAGAUAGGCUUCUGACCUGUCUAUUUUCCCUGAGAAUUCAGAAUAAUCAUGAACAAGAUGGGAGUAUGAAUCUCAGCAUGGAGGCCCAGUGGCUGACACCUAGCUUUCAAACCUAAACAUCUUGCACAGGUUUCCUUGUACCAUGUUCUCUGAUGCGAUGUCCUGUGUCUCUGCUCACUGCUUCAGUGCCCUCCCAAGCAGCCGGGAUGGAGCCCGGGCCGCCACAGCCCCCCUGGAGUGCGUGCCGCCUGAUAGGUGGAUCAAGAGCAGAACUCACAUGCUGCCUCCUGGGGAGGAAGGGGGUUGUUUAUGACCAUAUGAGCUUUGAGGUACCCAGGAUGACAGGCCACCCUAGAACCCAGGGAGCUUGGGCAAGUUCAUCCCCUUCUCUGGGCCUCAGUUUCCCUCAUCUGUCCUGCAAAAGAAUUGGAUCAGAUAAUCUGGGACAUUCUAUCCAGCUCUCUGAUCCAGAGAUCAGGUUUGGGGCCGGGUGGGGGAUGUGAAGUGGUCUUCCAAGCUGUCAACAUAGCCUGAUUGUGUA
rnacentral:lncRNA from 1 species